rnacentral:rRNA from 1 species
CAGUAGCCGCGGUAGUACGUAGGGUGCAAGCGUUAAUCGGAAUUACUGGGCGUAAAGCGUGCGCAGGCGGUUAUAUAAGUCAGAUGUGAAAUCCCCGGGCUCAACCUGGGAACUGCAUUUGAGACUGUAUGGCUAGAGUGUGUCAGAAGGGGGUAGAAUUCCGCGUGUAGCAGUGAAAUGCGUAGAUAUGUGGAGGAAUACCGAUGGCGAAGGCAGCCCCCUGGGAUAACACUGACGCUCAUGCACGAAAGCGUGGGGAGCAAACAGGAUUAGAUACCCCUGUAGUCCCUGUCUCUUAUAC